ensembl:lncRNA
CCUCGCUCUGUACACCACGCAGCGAGGUCAGCAUAUCCACGAUAUCCACGAUAUCCUCAGCUCCAUGAGUUAACACAAAGUUUCCCAGCUGACUAUCUAAAUUCCAACUAUUCCAGAGACGUGAAAAUAUACAGCAUAAAGAAAAGUGUAAGAGACUCAGCAGCAGAUUAGAAUAACAGUUAUACAUUUAAUAAAUCACCAAAUGAAUCCAAGAAACGAGCAAACCUGUUCCGACAAUUUGAGUUUGUAUUCCCUCAGCUGCAGACUCGCUGCUGUUUAAAUGUUUGAAAAGGAAGAUUAGAUAUAAACAAACGUCAAACAUAGACUCAGUCUGCCUUCACAUUUGAUAUGAGGCCAGCACGUAUAGUGGCUGUGUCCUGUUUUAAGAUCAUACAUGUAAAAUUGUUGUCUGACCUCCGUCGAGCCAGCCGCUCAGAGUCCGUGGUUACCAUGGUUACUGCAUAAGCAGCUAUAAUGUUAACAGCUGGCACUGAGGAAACCUACCGGCAGCAUGGGUGUUUAUGUUUUUCAUUGCAAAAGAACCGUCUGAAUGGUUAACUGAAGUUAACUUGGAUAAAUUAUAGUUAAGGAGUAUCACAGAUAACGCCUACGUGAGCUGUUCGACUGUUCACCACUACACUGAAAUCAGCAGGCUAUUACUGAAAUACACGUGCUAUAUCAUAAACUAUGAUAUAAAUUAGGGAGGUCCUAUUAACAUGUUUAGUUUUAAAGGACACCUUCCUGCCUUUAGUCUCCUUCAUGAGCAGUAUUAGUUUUCUUCUAACAUCCAGAAGUCUGCACGAUGUGUUUCAUAGUUUGUAACAAGCCUUUGACAGGUAAACAUAACAUGACCGAAAAAGCAAAAAAAAAAAAAAAAAAAAAAAAAAAAAAAAAAAAAAAAAAAAAAAAAGAGAGAGAGAGUGUUGACAUAAGAAGAGAAAAUGCUCUCAAUUAUGGAGACAGGCAAAUGGUUCAUUUAUGUUUGAUGUGUGUUUAUUCCUCCCUAAAUAUCGUCGGUGAAGUUUGCCAUGCACGUCAGCUUUUCCUGCGCAUUUUUAUACCUCUGCCAACAGAGAGAGAAAAAAAAAUCACAUUCUAACAGACAGCUGGUGCUUAGAAUACAGUUGAAUAAGUAUUAAAAAACAGAUGAUAUUUAGAUGAUAGUUCAGUCUAACACAUGUGCCAGUGAACCAUUAAACGUCUGUGAAACUAUGCAGUUAUGAAACGUAACUUUAACCUCAGCCAAACCGAUUUGCUCAGUUGUAAAUAAAACAGCGAAGUAAACGUGACCCGACAGACAGAACCUGAGUGAAUGAAGUCCAGCGUUUAACCACUGAGAGCUAAAACUCAGCUGAAGUGUCAAAGCUGUUUGCCGGUGAUUGGACAUCAGCCGCUGAUGAAGCUGGUUCGCUUAUAAAGUGCUCUGUAAGGAAACAAGCUCCAGCAGCUCUGCGCUCGGGGAAAACACUAUAUUUCCUUAUCUUGUGCAGAAAAAUGCGCUGACAUUGCGUUAUAUCGAGUACCGGCUGCCCAGUUAAACUGUGACUAUCACCAGGAAACGUAGGCGUGUUUCUUGAAUUAGCAGCAGGUGUUAAACAGCUGACAGAUGAGGAGGAGAAUGCAUGCAGGUAAACUGAGGGUCUGUUGAGCUGAUCGCUGGUUUCGUGAGAAAAAUGUCAGCUCGUUCUUUAUGUUACAGAAGCACAGAGACACAAGACCAGGCGGAAAGAGACGAUCGUUCGGUGAAAAUAAGAAUCUGAGAAUGCAACAUGUGGAACACGGAGAGUAAACAAACCGG